rnacentral:rRNA from 1 species
GACGAACGCUGGCGGCGUGCCUAAUACAUGCAAGUAGAACGCUGAAGGAGGAGCUUGCUUCUCUGGAUGAGUUGCGAACGGGUGAGUAACGCGUAGGUAACCUGCCUGGUAGCGGGGGAUAACUAUUGGAAACGAUAGCUAAUACCGCAUAAGAGUAGAUGUUGCAUGACAUUUGCUUAAAAGUUGCAAUUGCAUCACUACCAUAUGGACCUGCGUUGUAUUAGCUAGUUGGUGAGGUAACGGCUCACCAAGGCAACGAUACAUAGCCGACCUGAGAGGGUGAUCGGCCACACUGGGAAUGAGAAACGGCCCAGACUCCUACGGGAGGCAGCAGUAGGGAAUCUUCGGCAAUGGACGGAAGUCUGACCGAGCAACGACGCGGGAGUGAAGAAGGUUUUCGGAUCGUAAAGCUCUGUUGUAAGAGAAGAAAGAGUGUGAGAGUGGAAAGUUCACACUGUGACGGUAUCUUACCAGAAAGGGACGGCUAACUACGUG